GCCUGUUUAGCCCAGUGGUAAAACGCGCCACUUGUAAGCCUCUGAUUCUAAGCGCUCGUGUGAGGUCGGUUGAUCAAUCCAGCCAGCGGGCA